rnacentral:rRNA from 1 species
UAGGGAAUCUUCGGCAAUGGACGAAAGUCUGACCGAGCAACGCCGCGUGAGUGAAGAAGGUCUUCGGAUCGUAAAACUCUGUUGUUAGAGACGAACAAGGACGUUAGUAACUGAACGUCCCCUGACGGUAUCUAACCAGAAAGCCACGGCUUACUACGUGCCAGCAGCCGCGGUAAUACGUAGGUGGCAAGCGUUGUCCGGAUUUAUUGGGCGUAAAGCGAGCGCAGGCGGUUUCUUAAGUCUGAUGUGAAAGCCCCCGGCUCAACCGGGGAGGGUCAUUGGAAACUGGGAGACUUGAGUGCAGAAGAGGAGAGUGGAAUUCCAUGUGUAGCGGUGAAAUGCGUAGAUAUAUGGAGGAACACCAGUGGCGAAGGCGGCUCUCUGGUCUGUUACUGACGCUGAGGCUCGAAAGCGUGGGGAGCAAACAGG